GUGGACGGACGAUCUGUCAUUAUUCUGCUAGAUGGCGCUCUCGUUUGUUUACGUUGUGCAAACUGAGCCCCUACAGGCUCCAGUAGUGUUUAAAUCUUCCGGGGAGAGAAACUCUCUCUAUUUGAUGAAAAUUAUAAGAUUUGGUGUAAUUUGUGAACGAGUCAGGUGCUGGCACCCCGGCAAUGUUUUCGCUCUCCCGGUAUGGCAUCAAACACGGAACCACAUAAUCCAUCAUGUUACGAAAGUCGAUCCCUUUGGUAAACAAACGCGUGAAAUGUAUGGCUUGGUCCCUACUAUUUGCCGUAGAUAAUCAAUCGGUUCGAACUGUACCGGGGCAGCCGCCUGGGUUUGUUUACCCACGAGGGCCGGUCGCGCACCAGGCAAGGACGCGCGCGCGUCUAGGAGAGGCUAGAAAACUAUUAGUAACCCAAAAUGUGGCCAGACACCGCUGCGUGUUUGUGAAAGCAGGCGCACACGUUGUUUGAUUAGCUGAUUGGAAAAUGCGAUGUAAUGGGUUAAAUACGACGUGCUGUGGCUGGGCAGGAGCGCAGCACCGCCAUUAAACGCCUUCGGAGAAAAUGUGGCAAUACAACACACACACCAAGUACCCCUUAUAAACGGUUGGAACAGUAAAUCCCUUUUCCCGCGGAUACCGGUGGGAACACACUAACCGAGUGCCGAGCGACCCCUCGUUUGCUGCACUUAAUAUGCUGUUGGAAUUCUCCCGGGGGUCCGGUCGGGGCUGUUCCGUUUGCGAGCAUUGCGUGCGGCACGGACGGUGCAUUUUCCACGUACAGCAAGCCCAUCAGCCUUGAUUGUGUGUGUGUGACAUUGAGGCACUGUGGAGGCUUAUCGUGUCGGUUGGCGACGGGUGAGAGAAAAAUUAUUAUCAAAAUAAUCGUAAUUAUCGCUUGUAAUUUGUAUUUACUAGGAACGCCCGUACUCGCCCCAGCAGCACGAGGGCGGAAACACGUCCACGGAGUGGUGACGAUUAGUCCAAGGAUUAUUGACUCGACCGGCGUGUGCGCCCGGGGGAAUGUCCUGUUGUUCGCUCUUACCAUCCAACGAGCCCAUGCCGGGUAAAGAUUGCAUGAUUUAAUUUAAUCUACCCCCGUUUUCUAUUCACCACUCACCAUUUGCCUCUUGCGUACAGAAAAGAACUGCGCACAGCACGGAAUGGAUAUUGCGCUGUUUGAAUGGUGGACGGUGUAGAGCACGUGGAGCACAAAUAGUGCGUCCCCUACGUGUCACGCUUGCUGACGAGUUGGGGUUGUUUUUCUUUUUGCUGUUUUGGUUGUUAAACAUAAACGGUUAAGCACAAGCGGCUGGUAGUAUUGAAAGCUUGCACAGAGCACAAUACAUUUAAAACAGCAGCUUGAAAAAAUCAAUUGACGUACAAAACACUAUUCGCUAAUGCACUGUAUUUCGUAGCAUUUGUGCAGACAAACAGCGCUAAUAAAACAUUGCCAUACACACACGCACAUCUUCAGUGCGAGAGCUGCUGGAAGGCGUCACUGGGCAAAACCAUAACGCCAUUAGGCGCUAGCCUUUUGCGUACUGGUACUGUGCCCCACAGGUCGCACACUCGACUGUUAAGUUAAGUCGUGUUCCAAGUGGCCAUAGACUCUUCCACCCACCCGCACGAACUCUCAUCGACACUGGUGGUGUACAACAAUACACCGUACCG